rnacentral:rRNA from 1 species
UGGGGAAUAUUGCACAAUGGAGGGAACUCUGAUGCAGCGACGCCGCGUGAACGAAGAAGGCUUUCGAGUCGUAAAGUUCUUUUAUAUGGGAAGAUAAUGACGGUACCAUAAGAAAAAGCCCCGGCUAACUACGUGCCAGCAGCCGCGGUAAUACGUAGGGGGCUAGCGUUGUCCGGAAUCACUGGGCGUAAAGGGUUCGCAGGCGGAAAUGCAAGUCAGGUGUAAAAGGCAGUAGCUUAACUACUGUAAGCAUUUGAAACUGCAUAUCUUGAGAAGAGUAGAGGUAGUGGAAUUUUUAGUGUAGCGGUGAAAUGCGUAGAUAUUAAAAAGAAUACCGGUGGCGAAGGCGGCUUACUGGGCUCAUUCUGACGCUGAGGAACGAAAGCGUGGGUAGCAAACAGG